rnacentral:rRNA from 1 species
UAGGGAAUCUUCCACAAUGGACGCAAGUNNGAUGGAGCAACGCCGCGUGAGUGAAGAAGGGUUUCGGCUCGUAAAGCUCUGUUGGUAGUGAAGAAAGAUAGAGGUAGUAACUGGCCUUUAUUUGACGGUAAUUACUUAGAAAGUCACGGCUAAAAUACGUGCCAGCAGCCGCGGUAAUCCGGNNAAUGCGAAGGGUGCAUGCGUUAAUCGGAAUUACUGGGCGUAAAGCGCACGCAGGCGGUUUGUUAAGUCAGAUGUGAAAUCCUCGGGCUCAACCUGGGAACUGCAUCUGAUACUGGCAAGCUUGAGUCUCGUAGAGGGGGGUAGAAUUCCAGGUGUAGCGGUGAAAUGCGUAGAGAUCUGGAGGAAUACCGGUGGCGAAGGCGGCCCCCUGGACGAAGACUGACGCUCAGGUGCGAAAGCGUGGGGAGCAAACAGGAUUAGAUACCCUGGUAGUCCACGCCGUAAACGAUGUCGACUUGGAGGUUGUGCCCUUGAGGCGUGGCUUCCGGAGCUAACGCGUUAAGUCGACCGCCUGGGGAGUACGGCCGCAAGGUUA